rnacentral:rRNA from 1 species
AUUGAACGCUGGCGGCAUGCUUUACACAUGCAAGUCGAACGGUAACAGGCCGCAAGGUGCUGACGAGUGGCGAACGGGUGAGUAAUGCAUCGGAACGUGCCCAGUCGUGGGGGAUAACUACUCGAAAGAGUAGCUAAUACCGCAUACGAUCUAUGGAUGAAAGCGGGGGACCGUAAGGCCUCGCGCGAUUGGAGCGGCCGAUGUCAGAUUAGGUAGUUGGUGGGGUAAAGGCUCACCAAGCCAACGAUCUCUAGCUGGUCUGAGAGGACGACCAGCCACGCUGGGACUGAGACACGGCCCAGACUCCUACGGGAGGCAGCAGUGGGGAAUUUUGGACAAUGGGCGCAAGCCUGAUCCAGCAAUGCCGCGUGCAGGAAGAAGGCCUUCGGGUUGUAAACUGCUUUUGUACGGAACGAAACGGCUCUGGUUAAUACCCGGGGCUAAUGACGGUACCGUAAGAAUAAGCACCGGCUAACUACGUG